ensembl:lncRNA
ACCUCAUCAGAACUGACUCAAAUGCAUUCCUUUUUAUGGCUAAUGGAGAAGAAAAUGGCAACCCACCCCAGUAUUCUUGCCUGGGAAAUACUGUGGACAGAGGAGCCUGGUUCUCCUGUCUGCUCUCAGCUGGUGUUCUGCAUGCACUUCUGCAUCUGCAGGUGUAUUCCUGAUGUACCUGUGGAGAGAGAUGUACUCCACAUCCACCUACUCCUCUGCCAUCUUGUACUCCCAGAAUUGAUGCUUUUGAACUGUGGUAUUUGAGAAGACUCUUGAGUGUUCGUUCCUUGGACUGCAAGGAGAUCAAACCAGUCAUUCCUAAAGGAAAUCAGUCCUGAACAUUCAUUGGAAAGACUGAUGCUGAAGCUGAGACUCCAGUGCUUUGGCCACUUGAUGGGAAGAACUGACUCACUGGAAAAGACCCUGAAGCUGGGAAAGAUUGAAGGAAGGAGGAGAAAGGGACGACUGAGGAUGAGAUGGUUGGAUGGCAUCACCAACUCAAUGGACAUGAGUUUGAGCAAACUCCAGGCUUUGGUGAUGGACAGGGAAGCCUGGUGUGAUGUGAUCCAUGGGUUGCAAACAGUUGGACAUGACUGAGUGACUGAACUGAGCUGAAUUAACAGAAACUAUGGAUUAAUGUUUAUUUAUAAUUUCACAUUGGGGAAGGCUUUUCUAACCAUAAUAUAUAAUCCAGCAAUCAUGGAAAGAUAAGACUGAUACUUCAGGAUACAUGAAAUUGGAAAGCUUCAUUUUUACUCACUGUUUUCCAAUGACACCUUUAUCACAUAUUAAAAUCCUGUAUAUAUUUUUAUUUUUGAUAUUACUAUUUUGGAUUGUGUCUCCUUACACAUAAGCACAACACUAUUCUACCUACUGAGGUUUAUAAUAGACUCCAUGUCUGUUAGAACUCAUUUCUGCUCUUUGUUCUUUGUCCA